ACUCCUACGGGAGGCAGCAGUGGGGAAUAUUGGACAAUGGGCGAAAGCCUGAUCCAGCCAUGCCGCGUGUGUGAAGAAGGUCUUCGGAUUGUAAAGCACUUUAAGUUGGGAGGAAGGGCAUUAACCUAAUAUGUUAGUGUUUUGACGUUACCGACAGAAUAAGCACCGGCUAACUUC
rnacentral:rRNA from 1 species